AAAGUAUCGUACGAAUAAGGAUCGGCUAACUCCGUGCCAGCAGCCGCGGUAAUACGGAGGAUCCAAGCGUUAUCCGGAUUUAUUGGGUUUAAAGGGUGCGUAGGCGGUCAGAUAAGUUAGAGGUGAAAUUCCGGUGCUUAACACCGGCGCUGCCUCUAAUACUGUUUGACUAGAGAGUAGUUGCGGUAGGCGGAAUGUAUGGUGUAGCGGUGAAAUGCUUAGAGAUCAUACAGAACACCGAUUGCGAAGGCAGCUUACCAAGCUAUAUCUGACGUUGAGGCACGAAAGCGUGGGGAGCAAACAGGAUUAGAUACCCUGGUAGUCCACGCAGUAAACGAUGAUAACUCGUUGUCGGCGAUACAAUGUCGGUGACUAAGCGAAAGCGAUAAGUUAUCCACCUGGGGAGUACGUUCGCAAGAAUGAAACUCAAAGGAAUUGACGGGGGCCCGCACAAGCGGAGGAACAUGUGGUUUAAUUCGAUGAUACGCGAGGAACCUUACCCGGGCUUGAAAGUUAGUGACGGACUUGGAAACAAGUCUUCCCUUCGGGGCACGAAACUAGGUGCUGCAUGGUUGUCGUCAGCUCGUGCCGUGAGGUGUCGGGUUAAGUCCCAUAACGAGCGCAACCCCUACCGUUAGUUGCCAUCAGGUAAAGCUGGGCACUCUAGCGGGACUGCCGGUGUAAGCCGAGAGGAAGGUGGGGAUGACGUCAAAUCAGCACGGCCCUUACGUCCGGGGCUACACACGUGUUACAAUGGUAGGUACAGAGGGCAGCUACCCUGCGAAGGGAUGCGAAUCUCGAAAGCCUAUCUCAGUUCGGAUUGGAGGCUGAAACCCGCCUCCAUGAAGUUGGAUUCGCUAGUAAUCGCGCAUCAGCCAUGGCGCGGUGAAUACGUUCCCGGGCCUUGUACACACCGCCCGUCAAGCCAUGGGAGCUGGGGGUGCCUGAAGUUCGUGACCGCAAGGAGCGACCUAGGGCAAAACCGGUAACUGGGGCUAAGUCGUAACAAGGUAGCCGUACCGGAAGGUGCGGCUG
rnacentral:rRNA from 1 species